rnacentral:rRNA from 1 species
CUACGAAGGGGGCUAGCGUUGUUCGGAUUUACUGGGCGUAAAGCGCACGUAGGCGGAUUGAUUAGUUAGGGGUGAAAUCCCGAGGCUCAACCUCGGAACUGCCUUUAAUACUGUCAAUCUCGAGACCGGAAGAGGUGAGUGGAACUCCUAGUGUAGAGGUGGAAUUCGUAGAUAUUAGGAAGAACACCAGUGGCGAAGGCGGCUCACUGGUCCGGUACUGACGCUGAGGUGCGAAAGCGUGGGGAGCGAACAGGAUUAGAUACCCCGGUAGUCC